rnacentral:rRNA from 1 species
UACGGAGGGGGCUAGCGUUGUUCGGAAUCACUGGGCGUAAAGCGCACGUAGGCGGCGUCUUAAGUCAGGGGUGAAAUCCUGGAGCUCAACUCCAGAACUGCCUUCGAUACUGGCGAGCUCGAGUUCGGGAGAGGUGAGUGGAACUGCGAGUGUAAGAGGUGAAAUUCGUAGAUAUUCGCAAGAACACCAGAGGCGAAGGCGGC